rnacentral:rRNA from 1 species
CCUUUUAAAAAGCGUUAAAGCUUAAUAAUACCCUCCUUCCCUCCAAUUCCAUAACCCCCCACGAACCCUAUAUAACAGUACUGAAUAACCUUAUAAGAUUAUAAGUGGUAUUAUGUUAAAACUAGUAACAUGAAGCAGACCUUCUCCCUAAUGCGAGCAAAAACCAAAACGGACUAACCAUUGGUUCUUAACGUACCUGAGCCUAACCUAGCAACACCCUUCGAAAACCCUAUGCCCAGACCACGUUAACCUUACACCAGAGCAUUUCCGGAAAGAUUAAAAGAAAAAGAAGGAACUCGGCAAAUUUAAAUCCCGCCUGUUUACCAAAAACAUCGCCUCUUGACACAUACAUAUUCUAUAAGAGGUCCAGCCUGCCCAGUGACAUUUUUAACGGCCGCGGUACUCUGACCGUGCGAAGGUAGCAUAAUCACUUGUUCUUUAAAUGGGGACUAGUAUCAACGGCAUCACGAGGAUUUUACUGUCUCCUUUUUCUAAUCGGUGAAACUGAUCUCCCCGUGAAGAAGCGGGGAUAAUACUAUAAGACGAGAAGACCCCAUGGAGCUUUAAACCCAGUAACAUCUCAAACUCUUUAUUCCCCCUUAGUUUUUAUGCAUUGUCUGCUGGUUUUAGGUUGGGGUGACCGCGGAGUAUAACUUAACCUCCACAGCGCACGGAACUUAUUCCUUAUCCAAGAGCCACAUCUCGAAGAAUCAAUAAAUUGACGUAAAAUGAUCCAUAACCUUGAUUAAUGAACCAAGUUACCCUGGGGAUAACAGCGCAAUCCAUUUUUAGAGCUCCUAUCGACAAAUGGGUUUACGACCUCGAUGUUGGAUCAGGGUAUCCCAGUGGUGCAGCCGCUACUAAUGGUUUGUUUGUUCAACAAUUAAAACCCUACGUGAUCU